UGACUACAGCUUGUAUUGAAUUGUGGGUAGUAUCAACCCCGCAAAUGACCAUGUUGUUCACUUGUUCCCUCGAGCUAAAUCUAGGGCCGAGGGGCAACGUUAGAGCAGGUAGCCUAGUGGUAAGAGCGUUGGACUAGUAACCGGAAGGUUGGAAGAUCGAAAGCCCCAGCUGACAAGCAUGAUCUGCAAGCAAAGCUACAGUUGCGUUACGGUGAGAUUGCAAGGAGGACCCUACCACCACCCAAACUUCCUGUUGGGCCCAGCCACAAGUUUGCCUUCAAUUACUAUAAUGGCAGAGAUGGGCGUAGAGAGUCUGCACCAGCAAUGGUUGUGAUGUUGUGUCAAAAGGCCUUGACUGCUUGCCAAGUUCUGGAGGUGCCAGCAAAGCGUCCAGUCACACCUGGAAAUGUUCUCAGUGAGCUAACGCUGUCUACAGAUCAGCCAUACCUCUGAACAACAUUGUUUUUUUCCUGACUUAUUGUAGGUCUGACAGCAGAGCACGAUGUUGCUAUCACUAUUGUUCAAAUCUUGUAAAAUAUUAAAUUGUUAAUAAAUGAUGUAAUGUUUGAAGAAA